rnacentral:rRNA from 1 species
CCUGACGACCAUAGCGUGCGGGAACCACCUGAUCCCAUGCCGAACUCAGCAGUGAAACCGCUCAGCGCCGAUGGUAUUGU